rnacentral:rRNA from 1 species
UACGUAGGGGGCAAGCGUUGUCCGGAUUUAUUGGGCGUAAAGGGCGCGUAGGCGGCCGAUCAAGUCAGGCGUGAAAGCCCCGGGCUCAACCUGGGAAUUGCGCUUGGGACUGGUUGGCUGGAGUUCGGGAGAGGAGAGCGGAAUUCCCAGUGUAGAGGUGAAAUUCGUAGAUAUUGGGAAGAACACCGAUGGCGAAGGCAGCCAUCUGGACCGACACUGACGCUGAGGCGCGAAAGCGUGGGGAGCAAACAGG